rnacentral:rRNA from 1 species
AGAGUUUGAUCCUGGCUCAGGAUGAACGCUGGCGGCGUGCUUAACACAUGCAAGUCGAACGAUUAAAGCCCCUUCGGGGGUGUAUAAAGUGGCGAACGGGUGAGUAACACGUGGGUAACCUGCCCCUCACUCUGGGAUAACUCCGGGAAACCGGAGCUAAUACCGGAUACUCCGCUGAGAUCGCAUGGUCUUAUCGGGAAAGCUCCGACGGUGAGGGAUGGACCCGCGGCCCAUUAGCUUGUUGGUAGGGUAAUGGCCUACCAAGGCGACGAUCGGUAGCUGGUCUGAGAGGAUGAUCAGCCACACUGGGACUGAGACACGGCCCAGACUCCUACGGGAGGCAGCAGUGGGGAAUAUUGGACAAUGGGCGAAAGCCUGAUCCAGCCACGCCGCGUGUGUGAUGAAGGUCUUCGGAUCGUAAAGCACUGUGGAGAGGGACGAAAAGCGCGAGGAAUAAUACCUUCGUGUUUUGACGGUACCUUUUUAGCAAGCACCGGCUAACUCCGUGCCAGCAGCCGCGGUAAUACGGAGGGUGCGAACGUUGCUCGGAAUUAUUGGGCGUAAAGCGCGUGUAGGCGGCGAAAUAAGUCGAGUGUGAAAGCCCUGGGCUUAACCCAGGAAGUGCGCUCGAAACUGUUUGGCUAGAGUACGGGAGAGGGUAGCGGAAUUCCCGGUGUAGAGGUGAAAUUCGUAGAUAUCGGGAGGAACACCAGUGGCGAAGGCGGCUACCUGGACCGAUACUGACGCUGAGACGCGAAAGCGUGGGUAGCAAACAGGAUUAGAUACCCUGGUAGUCCACGCCGUAAACGAUGAGUGCUAGGUGUUGUGGGUAUUGACCCCCGCGGCGCCGAAGUUAACGCAUUAAGCACUCCGCCUGGGGAGUACGGCCGCAAGGCUAAAACUUAAAGGAAUUGACGG